GAUGAACGCUGGCGGCGUGCCUAAUACAUGCAAGUCGAGCGAACGGACGAGAAGCUUUCUUCUCUGCUGUUAGCGGCGGACGGGUGAGUAACACGUGGGUAACCUACCUAUUAUACUGGGAUAACUUCGGGAAACCGGUUCUAAUACUGGAUAAUAUUUUGUACCGCAUAGUUCAAAAGUUCUAGACGGUCUUGCUGUCACUUAUAGCUGGUUCCGCGCUGCAUUAGCUAGUUGGUAAGGUAACGGCUUACCAAGGCAACGAUGCAUAGCUGACCUGAGAGGGUGAUCGGCCACACUGGAACUGAGACACGGUCCAGACUCCUACGGGAGGCAGCAGUAGGGAAUCUUCCGCAAAGGGCGAAAGCCUGACGCAGCAACGCCGCGUGAGUGAUGAAGGUCUUCGGAUCGUAAAACUCUGUUAUUGGGGAAGAAAAUCUGUGGAAGAAAACGUGGACAUCCUGACGGUACCUAAAGAGAAAGCAACGGCUAACUACGUG
rnacentral:rRNA from 1 species